rnacentral:rRNA from 1 species
GUCUUUUUGAUAAUAAUUUAAAGUCGAAUUUGCCCCCUGAUUUUAUUAAAGGGCUGCAGUAAAUUGACUGUACAAAGGUAGCAUAAUCAUUAGUCUUUUAAUUGAAGACUUGUAUGAAAGAUUUGAUGAAAUAUAAACUGUCUCUUUAUUAUAAAUAGAAAUUAAUUUUUUAGUCAAAAAGCUAAAAUUUUUUUAAAAGACGAGAAGACCCUAUAGAGUUUUAUAAUUUAUUUAAUUGAAAAUUAUUAUUAAUAUUAUAUAAAAAUUAAAUUAAUUAUUUUAUUGGGGUGAUAAGAAAAUUAAAUUAACUUUUUUUUAAAUAAAUUCAUAAAUUAAUGAGUAGAUGAUCCAUAUAAUUAUGAUUAUAAGAAAAAAUUACCUUAGGGAUAACAGCGUAAUUUUUUUUUUUAGUUCAAAUAAAAAAAAAAGUUUGCGACCUCGAUGUUGGAUUAAGAUAUAAUUUAAAUGUAGAAGUUUAAAAUUUUGAUCUGUUCGAUCAUUAAAAUCUUACA